GACGAACCGAGCGAACGUUAUUCGGAAUCACUGGGCUUAAAGGGUGCGUAGGCGGGCGGCCAAGUCAGGGGUGAAAGCCUCCAGCUCAACUGGAGAAGUGCCUUUGAUACUGGUCGUCUCGAGGGAGGUAGGGGCGUGCGGAACUUCCGGUGGAGCGGUGAAAUGCGUAGAUAUCGGAAGGAACACCAGUGGCGAAAGCGGCGCGCUGGACCUCUUCUGACGCUGAGGCACGAAAGCCAGGGGAGCAAACGGG
rnacentral:rRNA from 1 species